UUCUACACCAGCAUUGCUUGCUGUUUGGGGUUUUAGGCUGGGUUUCUGUACAGCACUUUGAGAUAUCAGCUGAUGUAAGAAGGGCUAUAUAAAUACAUUUGAUUUGGUUUGAUUAGUGGGCAGUGGGAGGAUCCUAUAGAGAACAUUUAAUGGACCUGUUCUCCUCUGUAGUGGGCAGUGGGAGGAUCCUAUAGAGAAUAUUUAAUGGACCUGUUCUCCUCUGUAGUGGGCAGUAGGAGGAUCCUAUAGAGAACAUUUAAUGGACCUGUUCUCCUUUCUGGCAUCAAAGUACCUGGUGACCUGGGAGCCAUAGAGCUGAUUGACUGUCUCAUCAAUGACAAUGAAGCCGUUGAUGCGCUUGGUGUUGCUUCUGAUGGCCUUGAGCUCCUCCUGGUCCUCCAUACGACCACACAGCAGUGGGUCGUUCCCAUCAUCCAGCAGGUUGUGGCAUUGGAUCACUCUGUAGGUGAACACAAUGGGGCUGACCACUGUCCAGGACAUAUUGAGAUGCUCUGGAUGCUGAGUAGCCAGCAGAAAUGAGACUUACCGUUGGGGUUGCUGGUUUGGACUUUUGCUCAGAGGAUUUGAGGUGAGACAUCAUGGCUUGCAGACGCUCUUUGUCUUUUUUCAACUUCAUUGAGGAGAAGAUAAAACAACAAAGAUGUCAUGUGAAGUUGAUUACAGUGAGAAGGUACUGUACAAUGAAUGGGCUUUAUUUAAGCAAAUGUCUUGUCUAUUGUGUACCUGCAGUUCUAGCUGCUGAACAACCUGCAUCUGCACGCGACACUGUGCUGUACUCUUGUCAUCCAGUGCAUGUUCACUGUUCAGAUGCCUGGGGGAAAAACACAUUCUAUUAGAAAACAAGAAAACACUGAAGAAGCCACUAGAACCCAGUGUUGCUAUUACAGUAAGAGAGAUAGACCUUAAUUUGUCUCUCUGAGAGAUUGAAUAGAUGAAGAGAAACUCACUUGAGAAAAACUUGAAAGUCUCCAAAGACAGCCUCACAGCCAGACCAUUUGCACAUGCCGUGUCCAUAGAGAGGGUGAGUGUUUUGUGUGUGAUUAUCCACAGGCCCACUGCAGAGAGACAUACAUAUAUAUAUCAUGAAUGUAACACUUCAGGAAGAGGUUGGACAGAUGAGAAUGAAUAAACACUGUUCCGAAAUGACUAAUCACCUGUCUUUCUUCUUUAGGAUCUGUGAUGGAUGAUUCCCAUUGGUGGUGGACUGCUGACUAUGGAGCAGGUUCUUCUGAAGAGUGGCUAGAUUCUCACCACCAGAGAGCAGGCUGGUGCCAUUCUCACACCCUUUCAUUAAACCUAGGAGAAAUACACAAGUACAUAUAUUAAUUCAGCCAAAUAACUAUAAUAUUCUUGCCCAACAACAACCAAAACAAAAUGUCGCUGCCUUGCAGCCAUGGAGGAGGACAGCAACAACAAACUAAGCAUGGGGCAGAUACUUGAUGGGGGAGGGUAUGUUAGAUUAGGGUUGGGGCUGGGGGGGUAGACACUUACCCUGAGCUGCAGAGGGGCUUAUGGAGGGCAGGACAGACAGGAGACCCUGUCUCUGGAGGCUAAGGAGGUGCUGCUGUUGGACCUGCAGGAGCUGCUGCUGGAUGGCCAUGUGCUGAGCGGCUAGCUGCUGUAGGGGAGUGGGGAGGAGGUACACAUUAGGCCUCAGCAAUACUAUAAUAAUACAUUGAUUUUAUAUAGCGCUUUGGAACAUUUAGAUGACAGCAAAAUACAGACGUAUGACAAACAAUAAGUACGUCGGCCGACCUCUGGACCUGACUUCUCAGCAUGCUUCUGCUGUAGGAGCUGGGCGUUGAACUGGUCCUGCUGUUUCUGGCAAAGAUCCUGUAUGUGUUGCUGUAGAAAAAUAAAAAAACACCUUGAGUUAAUGGAAGGCCAUGAGGAAAUACAGUGGUCACGUUCAAGCCAUCAGCAUCUCACUGGAAGAUCCACAUGAAAAAUAGGGCCUGGAUCUGCUGUGGAUUGAGGACCUGCUGCUGCUUUAGUGUCUGCUGAGGAGUCUCCACCGGAGGGGUCAUCAUAGACACUGAGACUAGAACCUGCCAACACACAAAUACAGAUGAGCACAGAUUAGACAUCGCCAUGCCUGAAAAUAACAGAAAAACAAAAUGCCAACAACACCAUUGAAGUGUUUUUUUUUACAUUUUAAAACCAAAACAUAUGAACAGCCUUUGCUAGGCAUCCAGCAAUUACCCCUCCCUCUCUGCCUAACACCCACAGCUCUGGUGAUGUUUACAGUAAACAUAAUAAGUAAAGCCAAAUAAAUAUACUGAACAAAAAUAUAAAUGCAAUGUGUAAAGUGUUGGUCCAAUGCGUCAUGAGCUGAAAUAAAAAAAUCCCAGAAAUGUUCCAUACGCACAAAAAGAUUAUUUCUCUCAAAUUUGGUGCACAAAUGUGUUUACAUCCCUGUUAGUGAGUAUUUCUCCUUUGCCAAGAUAAUCCAUCCACCUGACAGGUGUGGCAUAUCAAGGAGCUGAUUAAAACAGCAUGAUCGUUACACAUUGGGUGGGCCUAUGCUCUCGCAGGCCCACCCAUGGCUGCACCCCUGCCCAGUCAUGUGAAAUCCAUAGAUUAAGGCCCAAUUUAUUUAUUUCAAUUGACUGAUUUCUUUAUAUGAAAAGUAACUCAGUAAAAUCUUUGAAAUUGUUGCAUGUUGCGUUUAUAUUUUUGUUUAGUAUAGAUAAAAAAAUGAAUACAAAAGCCAGGGAUGCAUGGCAAGAGUUGCAAAAACAGAACUGCAUUGCAGUUUAGAGCCUUGUCACACUUACAAUACUUUUUGUAAAAAUAUCGUCGGAUACACAUAUUAUUCAAAUGUAAACUUGCGUACUUGCAGGAACUUGGGGGUUCCUGAGGCCCAGAGUUAUACCUGAUCUGAUAGUAGGCUAAUCUAACUGGACCCUAGUUGUAGUGUAUGACAUAAAUCAGCUAGGAAAAAAAACUAUUUUAUAUGGGCUAUGAUGGGACCAGAUUAAUUAAGUCAUAUGGUUAAAAAAUUUGACAAACAUUUGACAAAAACUAACAGGGCUGAGCUCGCUGUAUGGCUGGUUGCAUCGUGUAGAUACUCAUAUAGCAUGUCAUCACUAUUGUAUUGAUUGAUUCAUUCCAGUCAAUCAUUUUGGAUUAAAAAGACCUACACUACAUAACCAAAAGUAUGUGGACACCUGCUCGUCGAACAUCUCAUUCCAAAAUCAUGGGCACUCGGAGGUCCUGUUCUGUGAGCUUGUGUGGCCUACCACUUUGUGACUGAGCCGUUGUUGCUCCUAGACAUUUCCACUUCACAAUAACAGCACUUAAAGGUGACAUCCUAUGAAAGUUGAAAGUCACUGAGCUCUUCAGUAAGGCCAUUCUACUGCCAAUGUUGGUCUAUGGAGAUUGCAUAGCUGUGUGCUCAAUUUUAUACACCUGUCAGCAACGGGUAUGGCUGAAAUAGCCAAAUCCACUAUUUUGAAGGGAUGUCCAUAUACUUUUGUAUAUACAGUGUAGGUAGCCUUGCCACCCGAAGUGUGAAUAUAAAAUCACUUUCUCAGAACACAAAUAAAUUGACCUAUUUUAGGCUAUAAAAACAUGACAUGACGUUUCCCCUGGCCAAGCCCAGAUGGGAUCAGAGCGCGUAGGCUUCUCUGGCUACCUGCAGCUGUGGUUGUUGUCAGUAGGCUGUAGUUGGUCAGACUGAAGCAUAGACUAAUUGGUCACGUUGACAAAUCAUGAGGCUUUUUAUUAAACAAAUUUGGUGGCGGGUAUGGAUUUCCAUGUAAAACAGCUUGUCGUGGUGAAUUCAGUUAUACUCACGUUUCCUGUCACAAUUCGCUUUUACCACAUUAAAUAAUUUUCAUGAUAUUGAUCAAAAUGAAGCCUGGUUUGUUGUAAUGUAGGCCUACUGUACUUGUAUAAUAAUAUGAGAGGGUUAAAUCAUCCAUUUUUGAUAGGCUAACGUUACUUGAUGAAGACAUUUUGUUAGCUUUAGUUAGCAGUAACUCUGUGCUUUUGUCUUGAAGCUAAAAUGUAUUGAGUGUAGCCUACAGACGAGAAAAUAAACCCUUUAAAUUGUCUGCACAUACAUGCUUGUGAAUUGUUGCAGUGUAAUAUGGUUUGGUUGCAUUAUUAAACAGUGUAAUAUGUUUUAGAAGAAA